UACGUAGGGUGCAAGCGUUAAUCGGAAUUACUGGGCGUAAAGAGCUCGUAGGCGGUUUGUCGCGUCUGCCGUGAAAGUCCGGGGCUUAACCCCGGAUCUGCGGUGGGUACGGGCAGACUAGAGUGCAGUAGGGGAGACUGGAAUUCCUGGUGUAGCGGUGAAAUGCGCAGAUAUCAGGAGGAACACCGAUGGCGAAGGCAGGUCUCUGGGCUGUAACUGACGCUGAGGAGCGAAAGCAUGGGGAGCGAACAGG
rnacentral:rRNA from 1 species